CCCCCUUAUAGGAGCCUCAGAAAGCUGGUACCUAGGUUUGGGGGUAGGGAUGGGGUUGGGCAGAGACCCCAGAGGGCUCAGGGUUCUCCCUCCCCACACUCAUCUCACUGCUUUCCCUCCAAGUUCAGCACCACAGCGAUGCCUUUGCCCAGGUGAACCCCCUGAGGAAGGUGCCGGCCUUGAAAGACGGGGACUUCACCUUGGCUGAGAGCCUGUUGACGCUGGCUGCCGAGUCUUCGAGAGCCGACCCAAGCUGGCUACAUGGCGCCACCACAUGGAGGCUGCGGUGGAGGAGGAUCUCUUCCAGGAGGCCAAUGCAGACAUUCUAAAGCUCAAGGACCUGCCUCCGGCAGACCCCUUCACGAAGGCGAAGCUGAGGCCCUCAGUGCAGGAUUUGUUGCAGUGAGCGGGUGGCCUGUGCUGGCAGAAUACAGAGAUGGAGCUGCCUAUCUCCUUGGCUGUAAGGACCCCCCGUCUGAAUGGGCUCUGGUCCCUAGUACCCUCCAGGCAUCGUGCCUGUGUGUGUUCCCUUUGUCUCCCCAUCCCACUUUUCCCCUUCUGUUCCAGCUUCCACGUGACCUCUGGAAACUGCUUGAGUAAACACUUAGUGGACCUUG